CAAGGCACAAGAGAAAAGAGGUCUACGUCAGGGGAGGGCCCUGGGCAGAAACCCCUCCCAAGCCAAACAACAGUGCUAGGCUGUGGGGGCCACCUGAGCUGUGUCACUCAGAGCAGGGUAUUUACCUCUCUGGGCCUAAGUUUCCACAUGCACAAAAUAGAGAGCUUGAAUUCAAAGGAGAGGUGAAGACCCACUAGUGUGGUCUGUGUCUUAGACACAUAAGCCCUUCAUUUGCAGAAGGCAGGCAGGAUUUUUGAUACUUUCCUGGAAGAAAGGGCUCACGCUAGAGUGACUGAAUCUGGGCCUCAGUUUCUUCUAAAAAGUAACCACACCCCUGCCUCCAGGCUUCCUCCAGGAGGCUGACACACUUCUGGCCCAUUCUUCAGGACCUUUCAGUGUCACCUGACUGUUCCUUAGCAGCACCCCACCUUACAGAUGAGGAAACUGGGGCUCCUAGAGGCAAAGUCACUUCGUCCAAAGUCACAUGCUGGGUGUUUCUCCUCCACGGAGGGGCAGCUGGGGCCCCCCCGAGAGAGAGCCGGGAAUUGGAGAGCUCCUCCUUCUCCCCUGAGGGGACGGCCUUCUCCCUGUGCUGGAGCCCAGGGCACAGACAGCAAGAAAGGCCUGGGGGUGCAGGCAAUGGUUCCAGGGCUCGGCUGGCCAGAACAAGACCCUGAGUUUGGUCCAAGAGUCUCAUCACCGAAACCCUCUGUGCCUAGAAGGGUGUCACUGGGCAUCUGACCAUCGCCUCCCUGCCAGGGACCAUAGCCAGAGUUCACUUCUUCCACAGCCACCAGCUGCCUCCUUCCUGGCACCCGUGCCCUCUUGCUUUUCUUAGCUCAGUGGUGUCCAGAGCAAGGGUCCUGAGCUGGGGGCCUGGGUUCCCCUCAGCUCCACCCCUGAUCUCCCCUAGGCCACUGGCCAGCCCCCUCUCUGAGCCUCAGUCUGCCAUCUGUCCAGAGCAGGCUGACAUGUGAUGGAUGGUCACGCGGAGCCAGGGGUGGGAGAAGAGCUGCAGAGAGGGGCGGAGGCAGGCCAGAGGGCAGCAGACGCCCCCAAUCUUCAUGACUGAGGGAGCCAGGCAGCCCAGGCUCGAAUCUGAACUCAGCCGUAUCCUGCCUGGGUGGCCUUGGGUCAGUGACUUUUCCUCCCUGAGCUGAGCCUCGGUUUCCUCGUCUGUAAAGUGGAGGUGAUGAGAGCCCCUCCUUUGUAGUUGCUGUGAGAACAAAGUGGGGAUAUGCACAGGCCCAACACCCAGAAAGGGCUCAGUCCACGUCCGCUGUGAUUACCAGCAGGGCUAGAGCUGCCCCCACACCCCGGCGAUCGCCCAGGCCGGUGGGCGGAGGCAGCUGCCAUCCUCUUCAUCAGCCGCCCAGGCCCCCCAGGCCCCGCAGGCCUCCCCUUGGGCCUGGGCUGGUCUGAAGCAAGGUCAAAGGGCAGCCCUGCCCUUCCCCCACGUGGGAUGGCCCCAGGAGGGACUGCCUAGAGGUUGAGGCCCAGAGAAGGGGAGCCACAGCAGGAGGUCACACAGCCAGUGCCGAGCCAGGACCUGAAUCCAGGCUUCCGGGCCCCUUCUGGGUGUCCCAAAGCGCAUGCCUUAAAAGGGAAAGGGAAAGAAGGAGGCUGAACAGUCCGUCUUGGGCGGAAGGAGUCCAGGGGACAGACUGGUCUGAAAGCAGAGAAGGCAGGGGUGUCAUCCCUGGUACUUGUGAAGAAAGGCCAGUGGCCUGGGAGCCAGAGCCCCCAGGACGGGGCAUAGGGCCGGGGUUUACAAGCCGGCCUGAGGACCCCGGGGAAGAUGGCCAUGUCACUGGGCCAGUUGUGGAAGCCGGAGGUGGUGGCUGCGGUUUCUCUUCCUGUGCAGAGAUGUAGAGGCCCCAACUGGUGGCCGAAUGCCAGCACCUUCUCAGGGCAGCCUGGAGCUGCCCACCUGCCCGCCAGAGUAGUCCAGUCACUACGGAGCACCAGCGAUGGGCUUGGCUCUAUUGUAAAAGCUGAUGAGGAAACCGAGGCCCACAGGUGCCAUGGCAAUCUGAAGUCGCUGAGAUCGGACAGCUGAGAAGGCCCCACAGCCCAGCCUGCCCCCCCAGUAAAGCCAAGAUCACCUGCCCUCCCCAGCAGUGUCUCUCAGGCGUCCUCCCCACUUCUGCUCCUCAUCCGCAUCCCCACACAUACCCUCCCCAACCAGAAGGGGUGGAGGUGAGGGGAGCAGGGGACUACGAGAGGGGCUAGGAGGCUAACAUUUAUUGAGCACACACUACAUGUAGGACAACCACUCAAAAUAUGUCAGGUGACCCCACAUCAACCCUGAGGGUGUGGCCCCUUUCCAGAUGGCCAAGCUGAGGUUCAGAGAGGCUCUGCGACUUGCCCAAACACACACAGCUGCACAAGCCAGUUACUACAGCUCAGGACAGCCUCCGGACAAAGGCCAGAUUCUUGGUUCCCCACCCCCCACCUGAACCCACAGAACUGAAGUUGGAGACCUGCCCCAAGCACUCCCACCUACAGCCCUGCACCCUCCAAGCAGGCAGAUGCCAGGGUCAGGGGGUGCCUCCUGGGAGCACUUGGGAGAAGAGGGGAACGCUUCUCCCAGGGACCCCUAUAUCUGCUGGGGACUCCUGGGCAGGAGGGUCUCAGGGCUACCCCAUGGCGCAUGUGAGGAAGUCCAGCC